rnacentral:rRNA from 1 species
CCAGAGAUGGAUUGGUGCCUUCGGGAACUCUGAGACAGGUGCUGCAUGGCUGUCGUCAGCUCGUGUUGUGAAAUGUUGGGUUAAGUCCCGCAACGAGCGCAACCCUUAUCCUUUGUUGCCAGCGGUUAGGCCGGGAACUCAAAGGAGACUGCCAGUGAUAAACUGGAGGAAGGUGGGGAUGACGUCAAGUCAUCAUGGCCCUUACGAGUAGGGCUACACACGUGCUACAAUGGCGCAUACAAAGAGAAGCGACCUCGCGAGAGCAAGCGGACCUCAUAAAGUGCGUCGUAGUCCGGAUUGGAGUCUGCAACUCGACUCCAUGAAGUCGGAAUCGCUAGUAAUCGUAGAUCAGAAUGCUACGGUGAAUACGUUCCCGGGCCUUGUACACACCGCCCGUCACACCAUGGGAGUGGGUUGCAAAAGAAGUAGGUAGCUUAACCUUCGGGAGGGCGCUUACCACUUUGUGAUUCAUGACUGGGGUGAAGUCGUAACAAGGUAACCGUAGGGGAACCUGCGGUUGGAUCACCUCCUUA